rnacentral:rRNA from 1 species
UACGGGGGGGGCAAGCGUUGUUCGGAAUUACUGGGCGUAAAGGGCGCGUAGGCGGCUCGCUAAGUCGGAUGUGAAAACUCUGGGCUCAACCCAGAGCCUGCAUUCGAAACUGACGAGCUCGAGUUCUGGAAGGGAAAGCGGAAUUCCUGGUGUAGCGGUGAAAUGCGUAGAUAUGACAUAGAACACCAAUUGCGAAGGCAGCUCGCUACACAUAUAUUGACUCUGAGGCACGAAAGCGUGGGGAUCAAACAGG